rnacentral:rRNA from 1 species
UAAGGCGGGUGCAAGCGUUGCUCGGAAUUACUGGGCGUAAAGCGCGUGUAUGCGGCCUCGUGUGUCUGGCGUGAAAGCCCCGGGCUCACCCCGGGAAGCGCGUUGGAAACUGCGAGACUAGAGUUCCGGAGAGGAAGGUUGAAUUCCAGGUGUAGCGGUGAAAUGCGUAGAUAUCUGGAAGAACACCGGUGGCGAAGGCGGCCUUCUGGACGGUGACUGACGCUGAGACGCGAAAGCGUGGGGAGCAAACAGG